rnacentral:misc_RNA from 1 species
GAUGAAGAACGCAGCGAAAUGCGAUAAGUAAUGUGAAUUGCAGAAUUCAGUGAAUCAUCGAAUCUUUGAACGCACAUUGCGCCCCUUGGUAUUCCGAGGGGCAUGACUGUUCGAGCGUCAUUAUAACCCUCAAGCUCAGCUUGGUGUUGGGGCCUGCUGCACUGGCAGCCCUUAAAAUCAGUGGCGGCGCCAUCUGGCUCUAAGCGUAGUAAUUCUUCUCGCUAUGGAGUCCUGGUGGAUGCUUGCCAUCAACCCCCAAUUUUUCUAUGGUUGACCUCGGAUCAGGUAGGGAUACCCGCUGAACUUAAGCAUAUCAAUAAGCGGAGGA